ACUAACAGUACUAUUAAAAAUUAUUGGUUAGGAUUAAUUGGUUUUUAAUAAAAAUAUAAAAUUUUAUGGUGAAAUAGAAAUUUUUUUUAUGUUUGUAAAUUUAUUUGAAGUCUCAAAGUUAACUUAGAAACUAGGAUUAGAUACCCUAUUAUUAUAAUUUAAUUUUAUUACCUUAUGAUUAUUAGUUAUUAUCUUUAAAGUAAAAUGAUUUGGCGGUGUUUUAGUCUAUUUAGGGGAACCUGUUCUAUAAUUGAUAGUCCACGAUUAAAGGUACUUAAUUUUUUAGUUUGCAUAUCGUUGUUUAAAAUAUUCUUUAAGGAAAUGUUUAUUUGAUUUAUUAAGAAUUAAUUUCAGAUCAAGAUGUAGUUUAUAGUUAAGAAGAAAUGGGUUACAAUAAUAUUAAUUUUGAAUAUUAAUAUAGAAAAUUAAUUGAAUUUGGACUUAAAAGUAAAUUUUAAUAUAUUUUAAUUUUGAUUUUAGCUCUAAAAU
rnacentral:rRNA from 1 species